rnacentral:rRNA from 1 species
CCAAUGGUCGAGUGGCGAACGGGUGAGUAACACGUGAGAAACCUGCCCCGGAGACCGGGACAACCAGAGGAAACUCUGGCUAAUACCGGAUGCCCUCAGAUGGUCGCAUGGCCGACUGAGGAAAGGCUCUGGCGCUCUGGGAGGGUCUCGCGGCCUAUCAGCUAGUUGGUGGGGUAACGGCCUACCAAGGCAUCGACGGGUAGCUGGUCUGAGAGGACGAUCAGCCACACUGGGACUGAGACACGGCCCAGACUCCUACGGGAGGCAGCAGUGGGGAAUAUUGCGCAAUGGGCGAAAGCCUGACGCAGCAACGCCGCGUGGGGGAUGAAGGCUUUCGGGUUGUAAACCCCUUUCAGUGAUGACGAAAAUGACGGUAAUCACAGAAGAAGCCCCGGCCAACUACGUG